AAUAACCAUCCAGCUUCUCUCAGUCUAAAGAUGCACCCCUCCUAAAGUCUGUCAACUGGGCAAAAUGUAUUUGAGUGCAUUGUAGAAGCAGGUCUAGCAGUCAAUGAUCUUUAAUAGAGAUGCAUUGCAUU